rnacentral:rRNA from 1 species
GAUGAACGCUAGCGGCAGGCUUAAUACAUGCAAGUCGAGGGGCAGCAUGACUGUAGCAAUACAGUUGAUGGCGACCGGCAAACGGGUGCGGAACACGUACAGAACCUUCCUUCGAGCGGGGAAUAGCCCAGAGAAAUUUGGAUUAAUACCCCAUAGCAUAUUGAUGAGGCAUCUCAUUAAUAUUAAAGAUUUAUCACUUGAAGAUGGCUGUGCGGCUGAUUAGGUAGUUGGCGGGGUAACGGCCCACCAAGCCUUCGAUCAGUAACUGGUGUGAGAGCACGACCAGUCACACGGGCACUGAGACACGGGCCGGACUCCUACGGGAGGCAGCAGUAAGGAAUAUUGGUCAAUGGACGAAAGUCUGAACCAGCCAUGCCGCGUGGAGGAUGAAGGUCCUCUGGAUUGUAAACUUCUUUUAUAUGGGACGAAAAAAGGGUUUUCUAACUCGUCUGACGGUACCAUAUGAAUAAGCACCGGCUAACUCCGUGCCAG